GAUGAAGAACGUAGCGAAAUGCGAUAAGUAGUGUGAAUUGCAGAAUUCAGUGAAUCAUCGAAUCUUUGAACGCACAUUGCGCCCCUUGGUAUUCCAUGGGGCAUGCCUGUUCGAGCGUCAUUUGUACCCUCAAGCUUUGCUUGGUGUUGGGCGUCUUGUCGUAUUACGACUCGCCUUAAAUACAUUGGCAGCCGGCACUUUGGCCUAGGAGCGCAGCACAUUUUGCGAUCGUAGCCCGUUGUACUGGCGUCCAUCAAGUACAUUUACCACGUUUGACCUCGGAUCAGGUAGGGAUACCCGCUGAACUUAAGCAUAUCAAUAAGCGGAGGA
rnacentral:misc_RNA from 1 species